UGGGAUAUAGCUCAGUGGUAGAGCACUUGCCUCCUAUUCACAAGGCCCUGGGUUCAGUCCCCAGUACCACAA
rnacentral:tRNA from 1 species